ACGAACGCUGGCGGCGUGCCUAAUACAUGCAAGUCGAGCGGAUCUUAGGGUGCUUGCACCCUUUGGUUAGCGGCGGACGGGUGAGUAACACGUGGGCAACCUGCCUAUAAGACUGGGAUAACUUCGGGAAACCGGAGCUAAUACCGGAUAAUUCUUUUCCACUCAUGUGGGAAAGCUGAAAGACGGUUUCGGCUGUCACUUAUAGAUGGGCCCGCGGCGCAUUAGCUAGUUGGUGAGGUAACGGCUCACCAAGGCGACGAUGCGUAGCCGACCUGAGAGGGUGAUCGGCCACACUGGGACUGAGACACGGCCCAGACUCCUACGGGAGGCAGCAGUAGGGAAUCUUCCGCAAUGGACGAAAGUCUGACGGAGCAACGCCGCGUGAGCGAUGAAGGCCUUCGGGUCGUAAAGCUCUGUUGUUAGGGAAGAACAAGUAUCGGAGUAACUGCCGGUACCUUGACGGUACCUAACCAGAAAGCCACGGCUAACUACGUGCCAGCAGCCGCGGUAAUACGUAGGUGGCAAGCGUUGUCCGGAAUUAUUGGGCGUAAAGCGCGCGCAGGCGGUUCCUUAAGUCUGACGUGAAAGCCCCCGGCUCAACCGGGGAGGGUCAUUGGAAACUGGGGAACUUGAGUACUGAAGAGGAAAGCGGAAUUCCACGUGUAGCGGUGAAAUGCGUAGAGAUGUGGAGGAACACCAGUGGCGAAGGCGGCUUUCUGGUCAGUAACUGACGCUGAGGCGCGAAAGCGUGGGGAGCAAACAGGAUUAGAUACCCUGGUAGUCCACGCCGUAAACGAUGAGUGCUAAGUGUUAGAGGGUUUCCGCCCUUUAGUGCUGCAGCAAACGCAAUUAAGCACUCCGCCUGGGGAGUACGGUCGCAAGACUGAAACUCAAAGGGAAUUGACGGGGACCCGCACAAGCGGUGGAGGCAUGUGGUUUAAUUCGAACGCAACGCGAAGAACCUUACCAUGGUCUAGAAUCCUCCGACAACCGUAGAGAUACGGUCUCCCUAGGGGACCUAGGCGAGUGACGAGGUGGCUGCAUGGCUGUCGUCAGCUCGUGUCGUGAGAUGUUGGGUUAAGUCCCGCAACGAGCGCAACCCUUAUCGAUAGUUGCUAGCAGUUCAGUGCCGAGCACUCUAGUGAGACUGCCGGUUGACAAACGGAGGAAGGUGGGGAUGACGUCAAGUCCUCAUGCCCUUUAUGUCCAUGGGCUACACACGUGCUACAAUGGCCUGGUACAAAGGCGCUGCAAACUCGCGAGAGGUAAGCCAAUCGCAUAAAACCAUUCUCAGUUCGGAUUGGAGGCUGCAACUCGACCUGCAUGAAGCUGGAAUCGCUAGUAAUCGCGAGAUCAGCAUCGCUGCGGUGAAUACGUUCCCGGGCCUUGUACACACCGCCCGUCACAUCACGAAGUGGUUGUAACUACCGAAGUCGGUCGCGGCCUAACCGCUAAGGAGCCAGACGCCCUACGGUAGGAUCCGAUGAUUGGGGUG
rnacentral:rRNA from 1 species